GCCCGCUGAAGGACGACUCCAGGUACGGGAAAUUAUUUCUCGUUGCAUUGAAGACCUGUCGGUGACCUUCUGCUGUUGUCUGCUCUAUGGUCGGCUUGUUGUCUCUUCGGCACAUUCCCCAUUUCCAUUCUCAAAUUUAUUGUGUUUAUCCUUCUUUGGUGAAGUCAUGUAUACAAAUUAUUUUGUCAAAAUUUAUGGCAAAUUAUGUGUACAUGUAUGUUUACCUGGUCAGUGUCACUGUUGAACGACAAAUGACGAUACUCUCAGUCUGUUUUAUUUAAAUACGUGGUAUAUACCAGAAAAUUCUAUUCAAAACAGCUCGAAGUCUACCAUCCAACACUUUUCAAUAAUAAAUAUCAAUAUCAUGAACGAAAGAAUAUCGUACAACAUGCACCGGAAAUGGUAGGAGGUGAGUUCGUACCAUGUCUGGGUAUGAGGUCCGUUCGUACCUCUUCUAUUUCGUACCUUAUAUUGAAUGUCCUUUUGUCUUUUGUCUAUCUUUAUUGAUGUCAUAAUUGCUGUUCCAAAUGAACAAAUAUUGUAUAGCUAUAAGGGAGUGGAUGUAGGUUAACAUUAUAAAGAGUAGAGAAUGAUGACAUGAUAAAUAUAUAUGGUUAAUGAGUAAUAUCACUUUAGGCAUAAUUCUGAAUAUAAGAGGGGCGAAAACUCCAAUUUUUGUUUAUGCAUCCUUUUAACCAAAAUUUAUAAGUAACCACAAGUCGCAACUAACAAUUAAGUAAAAAUAAUUUGUUGAUAUCUUAUAAGGUUAUUGAAAAAGAGUGAAAAUAAGCCAAAAUCAAAAUUUAGAUUUUGACCUUGACCUUUGACCUUGACCUAAUUUUCAUUUUUUUGGACCAAGGAUCUUAAAUCAAAAGACCCUAGGUCUCUAUCACUUAUGGUUUACCAGUUAGAAAUGCAUAUCACUUAUAUCAUAUACAAAAGGGGGGAUAACUCUCAUAUGGAGUCUCCGGAUAGCUUCGGUCAAAAUUAAACAGAACAUCCUGAGGAUAUAACGAGCAAUUUGGUAAAAUAAAUUUGUCGUAAUCUUUUACGGUUGCGAAGGAGUAGUGGCCACAAGAAAAACAGUGUUCAGGGAGAUAACUCUUACAAGGUAAAGUUUUCUGUUACGCGGUGUCAGUUUCAGAAGCGUAUUAACUGUUUGAUAUCAUAUACCAUAUAUCUAAGCGACAUCUUGGGAAACAAAAAAACAGUGAAGCAAAAAAAAGUUGGCGGAAGAAAAAAAAAAAAAAAAAAAAUAAUAAUAAUAAUAAUAAUAAUAAUAAUAAUAAUAAUCAGAACAAAUACAAUAGGUCUUUCACCUGAAAGGUUGAAAGACCUAAUAAUCAGACGAAUA
rnacentral:lncRNA from 1 species